rnacentral:tRNA from 3 species
CGGAGCAUAGCUCAGCCUGGUAGAGCACUGUCUUCGGGAGGCAGGGGUCGCAGGUUCAAAUCCUGCUGCUCCGACCA